rnacentral:rRNA from 1 species
UACGAAGGGGGCUAGCGUUGCUCGGAAUUACUGGGCGUAAAGCGCACGUAGGCGGCUUUCUAAGUCGGGGGUGAAAUCCUGGAGCUCAACUCCAGAACUGCCUUCGAUACUGGAGAGCUCGAGUCCGGGAGAGGUGAGUGGAACUGCGAGUGUAGAGGUGAAAUCGUAGAUAUUCGCAAGAACACCAGUGGCGAAGGCGGCUCACUGGCCCGAUACUGACGCUGAGGCACGAAAGCGUGGGGAGCAAACAGG